GAGUUUGAUCCUGGCUCAGAACGAACGCUGGCGGCAGGCCUAAUACAUGCAAGUCGAGCGCACCUUCGGGUGAGCGGCGAACGGGUGAGUAACGCGUGGGAAUGUGCCCUUCUCUGCGGAAUAGCCGUUGGAAACGAUGAGUAAUACCGCAUACGCCCUUCGGGGGAAAGAUUUAUCGGAGAAGGAUCAGCCCGCGUUAGAUUAGGUAGUUGGUGGGGUAAUGGCCUACCAAGCCUACGAUCUAUAGCUGGUUUGAGAGGAUGAUCAGCCACACUGGGACUGAGACACGGCCCAGACUCCUACGGGAGGCAGCAGUAGGGAAUCUUAGACAAUGGGCGCAAGCCUGAUCUAGCCAUGCCGCGUGUGUGACGAAGGCCUUAGGGUCGUAAAGCACUUUCGCCAGGGAUGAUAAUGACGGUAGCAGGUAAAGAAACCCCGGCUAACUCCGUGCCAGCAGCCGCGGUAAUACGGAGGGGGUUAGCGUUGUUCGGAAUUACUGGGCGUAAAGCGCACGUAGGCGGACUGGAAAGUUGGGGGUGAAAUCCCGGGGCUCAACCCCGGAACGGCCUCCAAAACUAUCAGUCUAGAGUUCGAGAGAGGUGAGUGGAAUUCCGAGUGUAGAGGUGAAAUUCGUAGAUAUUCGGAGGAACACCAGUGGCGAAGGCGGCUCACUGGCCAGACACUGACG
rnacentral:rRNA from 1 species